CCGCGUAGCACCGAGACGUAGCAAGAUGGCGGACUAGGGCAACGCGCGCGCGACUCGCACGACCGCCGCCUCGUCGUUGUUUUGCUUUUCCUCGCGCGUGUCGCUCGCCCCGCCGUGUCGCGCGACGACCAGCGCCCGCGGGAGGAGCGGCGGUAACCGCGCGGACGCGAGAGCGUUGCGAGAGAGAGAGAGAGAGAGUUUCGGAGAGAGGUUCGCGCGACAUAACCUCUACGCGCCGUCGGCGGACCAGGAGCCGUGUGUUGUCGCGGUCCUUGCCCAGCCAUGGCGGCCCCCGAGGCGAUACAGGUGAGUUCCCUGCCCCUGCCGCCCGUCCAGUACAUCAAUCUGUACACGGACGAGAACGUGCGGCGCGGACGCGCCCCGCGCCCGCCGCCGCCGAUCCACGACAGCUACUCCAUGUUCGGCAACGUGUUCAACGCCGACGACACCAUCAUCCGGCCGCUCGAGGCCCAGGGCAUCAAGCGGCUGUACCCGCAGCACUUCGACCGGCGGCGCGAGCUGAAGAAGCUCAAUCACUCGCUGCUCGUCAACUUCCUGGAUCUGAUCGACCUGCUCGUCCAGUGCCCCGACAGCCCGAGACGCGCGGAGAAGGUCGAGGACCUCAGUCUGUUGUUCAUUCACAUUCAUCACCUGCUGAAUGAAUUCCGACCGCACCAGGCGAGAGAGACGUUGCGAGUCAUGAUGGAACUGCAGCGCAGACAGCGUCACGAGACGGCGCUGCGCUUCCAGAAGCACCUUGAGAAGGUUCAAGAGAUACUGCAGCACGCCCUGCAGAUGCUCCCCGACACGGAGCUGGACUCGAAACUCGCGAUAAACACAGACGCGAUGGAGUCCGUGGACAGUUUAGGCUUCGAACAGCAAACCCAGGAUCCCUGCAGUCCGAGCGAUCGUAUUAUGUGCAAAGUGAUAGACGAUAUGCUUUCCUCGAACGGGCUCUUCUGAAGUGUCGACCCUUCACCGUCGUGCGUGCAAGUUCAUCUACCAGUGAGGACUCCGAAUUAAUUGCGUAUGUAAAUCGUGGUGGUAGAUAACACGAAAUGUUUCUACAUGAUAAUGAUGGAUAGAGGGAAAGGAAAGAUGGAAGAAUACUUUUUGAACUCACCUCACAAACAGCAAUCACAUGAAGGAGACAUAUUACACAGAUAUAUAUAUGCUAAUAAACACAAUAAUGUCCAUCAUGAGAGCUCCUGGAAGAAAAAUAUUAAUUAGUUUCUCCAGGCAGCAGCCCCCGUUUCCGCGUUCGUUUCUGAAAGGUUUCUGUAGUGGGAAAACAGGAAAAAAAUAUAUAUAUAUA